GAGGAGAAGAAAUCAACCGAGAUUCCGGUAGUAGCGGCGAGCGAACCUGGAUUAGCCCUUAAGCACUCGGUGAAGUAGGUGAACAAGCUGGAAAGCUUGGCGAUACAGGGUGAUAGCCCCGUAACCGACGCUUCAUCGAGCGUGAAAUCGAGUAGGGCGGGACACGUGAUAUCCUGUCUGAAUAUGGGGGGACCAUCCUCCAAGGCUAAAUACUCCUGACUGACCGAUAGUGAACCAGUACCGUGAGGGAAAGGCGAAAAGAACCCCUGUGAGGGGAGUGAAAUAGAACCUGAAACCGUGUACGUACAAGCAGUAGGAGCACCUUCGUGGUGUGACUGCGUACCUUUUGUAUAAUGGGUCAGCGACUUAUAUUCAGUGGCAAGGUUAACCGUAUAGGGGAGCCGUAGCGAAAGCGAGUCUUAACUGGGCGCUCAGUCUCUGGAUAUAGACCCGAAACCGGGUGAUCUAGCCAUGGGCAGGUUGAAGGUUGAGUAACAUCAACUGGAGGACCGAACCGACUAAUGUUGAAAAAUUAGCGGAUGACUUGUGGCUAGGGGUGAAAGGCCAAUCAAACUCGGAGAUAGCUGGUUCUCCCCGAAAGCUAUUUAGGUAGCGCCUCGGACGAAUACUACUGGGGGUAGAGCACUGUUAAGGCUAGGGGGUCAUCCCGACUUACCAACCCUUUGCAAACUCCGAAUACCAGUAAGUACUAUCCGGGAGACACACGGCGGGUGCUAACGUCCGUCGUGGAGAGGGAAACAACCCAGACCGCCAGCUAAGGUCCCAAAGUAUUGCUAAGUGGGAAACGAUGUGGGAAGGCUCAGACAGCUAGGAUGUUGGCUUAGAAGCAGCCAUCAUUUAAAGAAAGCGUAAUAGCUCACUAGUCGAGUCGGCCUGCGCGGAAGAUGUAACGGGGCUAAGCAAUACACCGAAGCUGCGGCAAUGUCUUUUAGACAUUGGGUAGGGGAGCGUUCUGUAAGCCGUUGAAGGUGAAUCGUAAGGUUUGCUGGAGGUAUCAGAAGUGCGAAUGCUGACAUGAGUAACGACAAAGGGGGUGAAAAACCUCCUCGCCGGAAGACCAAGGGUUCCUGUCCAACGUUAAUCGGGGCAGGGUGAGUCGACCCCUAAGGUGAGGCCGAAAGGCGUAAUCGAUGGGAAACGGGUUAAUAUUCCCGUACUUCUGACUAUUGCGAUGGGGGGACGGAGAAGGCUAGGUGGGCCAGGCGACGGUUGUCCUGGUUCAAGUGCGUAGGCUUGAGAGUUAGGUAAAUCCGGCUCUCUUUAAGGCUGAGACACGACGUCGAGCUGCUACGGCAGUGAAGUCAUUGAUGCCAUGCUUCCAGGAAAAGCCUCUAAGCUUCAGAUAGUCAGGAAUCGUACCCCAAACCGACACAGGUGGUCGGGUAGAGAAUACCAAGGCGCUUGAGAGAACUCGGGUGAAGGAACUAGGCAAAAUGGUACCGUAACUUCGGGAGAAGGUACGCUCUUGAUGGUGAAGUCCCUCGCGGAUGGAGCUGACGAGAGUCGCAGAUACCAGGUGGCUGCAACUGUUUAUUAAAAACACAGCACUGUGCAAAAUCGCAAGAUGACGUAUACGGUGUGACGCCUGCCCGGUGCCGGAAGGUUAAUUGAUGGGGUUAGCGCAAGCGAAGCUCUUGAUCGAAGCCCCGGUAAACGGCGGCCGUAACUAUAACGGUCCUAAGGUAGCGAAAUUCCUUGUCGGGUAAGUUCCGACCUGCACGAAUGGCGUAAUGAUGGCCACGCUGUCUCCACCCGAGACUCAGUGAAAUUGAAAUCGCUGUGAAGAUGCAGUGUACCCGCGGCUAGACGGAAAGACCCCGUGAACCUUUACUACAGCUUGGCACUGAACAUUGAACCUACAUGUGUAGGAUAGGUGGGAGGCUAUGAAGACGUGACGCCAGUUGCGUUGGAGCCGUCCUUGAAAUACCACCCUUGUAUGUUUGAUGUUCUAACUUAGACCCGUUAUCCGGGUUGAGGACAGUGCCUGGUGGGUAGUUUGACUGGGGCGGUCUCCUCCCAAAGAGUAACGGAGGAGCACGAAGGUGGGCUAAUCACGGUUGGACAUCGUGAGGUUAGUGCAAUGGCAUAAGCCCGCUUAACUGCGAGAAUGACGGUUCGAGCAGGUGCGAAAGCAGGUCAUAGUGAUCCGGUGGUUCUGUAUGGAAGGGCCAUCGCUCAACGGAUAAAAGGUACUCCGGGGAUAACAGGCUGAUACCGCCCAAGAGUUCAUAUCGACGGCGGUGUUUGGCACCUCGAUGUCGGCUCAUCACAUCCUGGGGCUGAAGUCGGUCCCAAGGGUAUGGCUGUUCGCCAUUUAAAGUGGUACGCGAGCUGGGUUUAGAACGUCGUGAGACAGUUCGGUCCCUAUCUGCCGUGGGCGUUGGAAGAUUGAAGGGGGCUGCUCCUAGUACGAGAGGACCGGAGUGGACGAACCUCUGGUGUUCGGGUUGUGUCGCCAGACGCAUUGCCCGGUAGCUAAGUUCGGAAUUGAUAAGCGCUGAAAGCAUCUAAGCGCGAAGCGAGCCCUGAGAUGAGUCUUCCCUGAUACUUUAAGUAUCCUAAAGGGUUGUUCGAGACUAGAACGUUGAUAGGCAGGGUGUGUAAGCGUUGUGAGGCGUUGAGCUAACCUGUACUAAUUGCCCGUGAGGCUUAACCA
rnacentral:rRNA from 1 species